GCUGAAAUAGCUCAGUUGGGAGAGCGUUAGACUGAAGAUCUAAAGGUCAGUGGUUGAAUCCCGGGUUUCGGCA
rnacentral:tRNA from 1 species